AAAUGAAGUGGAAAAAAAAAGGGAAAAACAGAAAUAGGGGAGAGGAGAGGGAGUCGGGCGACAAGAAGGAAGAAAGGGGAAGAGGAGAAAGCGGAAUCGAUGAUGGUAAGUCGAAGAAACGUAUCGGUGGAGAGGAUUGUUCUAAGCUAAGAAGAAAUGGAAGCUGGAGGAGGAGGAAAGGAGGUGAGAAAUGGCUCGGGAGUUGAGUGUAUGAGAGGUAGAGGGAAGAGGAUCAGCUGAAACGUAGUUAGGACUAGGUAUGGUGAAGUUUGGGGGCGGUUUCACUCGCGAUGCACCGAUAAUCAGAGCUGGUGUCGGCGACGGUAGAGUAGGACUUGGUGUUGGCUUAAACAUGUAUUCAUUGCCGAGUAGGUGGUGUGUAUGAUGUGAGUAGUGUGGCGUGUGUGCGUUGUUGCUGUGCGUGCGUGAGUAGUUCGGAGUAGGCCGGUGUGUGUGUAGGUGUUCUAAAAAAGUCAGUCGGGGUGUGGCCACUGGAAGGCCGGUGUGUGAUCAAAUGGCAGUAUGCUGCCGAAGUGAGUGACCGUGAAUGGUCGGUAUGCAUGUCUACGUGUGUGGCAGUGUAUAGUCGGAUGGGAGGGCUUGACGUGUGUGUGUGCGAGGCCGGGAAAGGUCGAUAUGUGCGUGAGUGAUAGGCUACUGCCGAAGUGUGUGGUCGAGCGCGGUCGAUGUGUGUGUGUGUGUGUGGCAGUGUACAGUCGGUGUGAGGCUGGAGGACUUGAUGGGUAUGUGAGUGUCUGUACAUUGCCGUUGUGAGUACCUGUAUGGCCAAGAAUAGGCCGGCGUGUGUGUGUGGCUAAAUGAAGCCGAUGGUGGAGUGAUGGAAAUGGGGUGUAUGUGUGGCCAAAAAGGUCGGGGUGCGUGUGUGGCCAGAGGUAGGCUGAUGAGUGGGUUGUGUGGCAGAACUAAGAGAUAGUGGGUAGUAUUUCAAGAUAAAGUAAGAAUAGAGUCGAGUGAAAGAAUGUGAGGGUACGGUAAGAAGAUAUGAGGAUGGGGAGUGGGGAAAUCCUAGAGUGGAUGUCCAAAAACAUUUUCAUAUUAUAUUUGAGCAUUAAAUUUAUUUUACUGAGCUAAAUUAUGUCCAUUAUAUAUUUUUGGAGAUGUAGUGAGACUGGAAAGCCACAUGGGAGAUCUCUUCUAGGAGAAACAGGAAAUCAGAGAAUUAAAUGUAUAAUAGAUUGUAUAGGACGUUUGUCCAUUUGAUACUACAAUAGUGACUAAGAACAUACCAUGAGUUCUUUAUGUAGAUUUUCCUUCUUGUUAUUGUGGAAUUGAAAUUUGAAUGAUGAAUAUAUUAUUCACUAAUUUUGAUGAUUUUAAUUACAUAAGAUGUAGUUGAUUUGAAGAUUUGUGGUGGUGAUGUGUUGGGAUAUGAGGUGUGGGUCUAGGAGCAUUUUGAAUGUCACAUUUAGUAUCAGAGCAUAUUCAUAAGGUAGGAGUAUGUAAGACUAUAGUGAUAGUAUAGUUUAGUAACUGACGGGAAUUGUUAUGAUGCAGGUAGACAAGGAGAGGGGAGGAAGAAAGGUAGAGGUCGGCCUCGGAGGGAACCUACUCCAACCCUUCGAGACCCACCAAUAGCACCAUAGGGAGUACCUUCCUUCCACCAGGUGCCCCUCUCUACUUCGCAAGGACCACCCCCUUGUCCGCUUGUGCGCCCCACUGCCCAACAAAGACCCUAAUUCACUCCACCAGCACCACAAGUAGGGCAGGUCACUGGGCAUUCAGAUGAUUUCAAUUGGUUAUGCAGGGUGGUAAAAAGUUUGGCAAUGAUGAUUAGAGAGAGGGAGUCUCGAUCUGAGACCACUUAUACUCCACAGCAUAACACGGGACAUGGUGGAGUAGACACAAGUAAUAUCAAAAAGUACUGAAAACUCAACCCACUGGCUUUCAGCGGGGACUCUGACCCACUGGUGGCCAAAGACUGGAUAAGAGAAACCAAGUUAUUUGAGGUGAUAGAGGUUACUCCGGAACAUAAGGUACAACUAGUUACUUUUAUGUUGAAAGGUCCAGCAGAGAGGUGGUGGUGCCUAAAGAGGGGAGCCUUAAUUCCCCUGGUGACUUGGGAAGUCUUUCUCGAAGCUUUCAAUGCAUAGUACUUCCCAAACUUUAUCAAACAACAGAAAGAGAAUGAGUUUUCAGAACUCUGACAAGAGAAAUUAUCAGUGGCUGAAUAUGUUGAGAAAUAUAUAAGUUUGGGACAAUUCACUUCGGAGGUCAUAAUGAGUGAGUGAAAAAAGGCCAGGAGGUUUGAGAAGGGAUUAAGACCAGAGCUACAUCAUCAGGUAGCAGUAUUCGCUCUCUCUACCUACCACGCAGUGUUACAAAAGGCACAACUAGUAGAGACUUUACAGAGAGAACAAUAUGGUAGAGGGUUCCCUAGUUACAAGCGAACACCACUACAAUUCAACUAAAUAGAGAAGAAA